rnacentral:rRNA from 1 species
CACGCUGUAAACGUUGUAUACUAGGUGUUAGCGGCUAGUCUGCUAGUGCCGAAGCAAACGCAUUAAGUAUACCGCCUGGGGAGUACGCCCGCAAGGGUGAAACUCAAAGAAAUUGACGGGGGCCCGCACAAGCGGUGGAGCAUGUGGUUUAAUUCGAUGAUACGCGAAAAACCUUACCUGGGCUUGAACUGUGCAUGACUGGUGUAGAGAUACACCUUUCCUUCGGGACAUGUACAGAGGUGC